CCUUGAGAUGAGUCUUCCCUGACUCUUUAAGGGUCCUAAAGGAACGUUUAAGACUAAGACGUUGAUAGGUUGGGUGUGUAAGCGUAGCGAUACGUUGAGCUAACCAAUACUAAUGAACCGUGAGGCUUAACCUG
rnacentral:rRNA from 1 species